CUGAAUCACUACACAUAUGGCAUGGUCUCACACCCGCCACCUAUCCUUCAAGUGUCUGCCUUAUCAACUGUCCAAGGUAGUUUAUACGACUACCUUGGUGGUAACGGGGAACGGAGAAUUUGGGUUCCAUUCCGGAAAGGGAGCCUGAGAAACUGCUACCACAUCCAAGGAAGGCAGCAGGGGCGCAAAUUACCCACUCUCACCUCGAGGAGGUAGUGACGAAAAAUAACGAGACAGUUCUCUAUGAGGUCUGUCAUCGGAAUGGGUACAAUCUAAACCCUUUAACGAGGAUCAAUUGGAGGGCAAGUCUGGUGCCAGCACCCGCGGUAAUUCCAGCUCCAAUAGCGUAUAUUAAAGUUGUUGCGGUUAAAAAG
rnacentral:rRNA from 1 species